rnacentral:miRNA from 1 species
UACCCGUAGUCCAAUGCUGUCA